UGAAGUGCGUGCCAGCGGCCGCGGGAAUACGAAGGGGGCUAGCGUUGUGCGGAAUUACUGGGCGGAAAGCCUAUGCAGGCGGAUCGUUAAGUCGGGGGUGAAAUCCCGAGGCUCAACCUCGGAACUGCCUUCGAUACUGGCGAUCUUCGAGUCCGGGAGAGGUGAGGGGAACUCCGAGUGUAGAGGUGAAAUUCGUAGAUAUUCGGAAGAACACCAGUGGCGAAGGCGGCUCACUGGCCCGGUACUGACGCUGAGAUACGAAAGCGUGGGGAGCAAACAGGAUUAGAUACCCCGGUAGUC
rnacentral:rRNA from 1 species